GGCAUGCGGCAGCUUACCAUGCAGUCGAGCGGAUGCAGGUGCAGCUUGUUCCCUGGGUGGCCAGAGGGGGACGGGUGGCUUAUGUCUCUGCCUCUGACUGAUGGACGGGGAUAACUACGGGAAACUAAUACUAAUACCGUCCAACGGCACAAGGCCAGGGAUGGGGAGCUUCCGUCCUCUUGCCAUUGAAUGUGCCUCGGAUUAAUUAGCUGGUGGGGUAAAGGCCGACCCACGUAAGCAACUAUCCCUAGCUGGACUGAAAGAACCACCACCCUGGCUGGGACUGACACACCGUCCUCACUCCUACGGCAGGCAUGGGUGGGAAAUAUUGAUGAAUGGAACCCUGCCUGAUCCAUGCAUGCCGCGUGAGUGAAGAAUGCCUUCUGGUUGGAAAGUUAAUCCAGGAGGAAGCUCUUUUGUGAAAUUCCUACACUGAUUGGACGUUGCUACUCGAAUAAGAACCACCGGCUUCUGUGCUGCCAGCCGCCGCGGUAAUAAGGAGGGUGCAAGCGUUAAUCUUAAUUACUGGUAAUAAAGCGGUAGCAGGUCGAUUAAUAAGUCUGAUAUCUCCCGGUCUUAUCUUGGGAAUUGCUAUUUGCUACUGGCUACUAGAGUUCUCAGAGGAUGGGGUAGAAUUCCGUGUUGCAGCGGUGAAAUGCGUAGAGAUCUGGAAGGAAUACCGGUGGCGAAGGCAGCCCCCUGGACUAAACACUGACGCUCAGGUGCGAAAGCGUGGGGAGCAAACAGGAUUAGAUACCCUGGUAGUCCAUGCUGUAAACGAUGUCUAAUUGGAGGUGUGCCUUUGAGGCGUGAGUUCCGAGCUAACGCGAUAAUUAGACCGCCUGGGGAGUACGGUCGCAAGAUUAAAACUCAAAUGAAUUGACGGGGGCCCGCACAAGCGGUGGAGCAUGUGGUUUAAUUCGAUGCAACGCGAAGAACCUUACCUGCUCUUGACAUCGUGGAAACUUUCCAGAGAUGGAUUGGUGCCUUCGGGAAUUUACAUACAGGUGCUGCAUGGCUGUCGUCAGCUCGUGUUGUGAAAUGUUGGGUUAAGUCCCGCAACGAGCGCAACCCUUUUCCUUUGUUGCCAGCGUUUCGGCUGGGAACUUAAAGGAUACUGCCAGUGCCAAACUGGAGGAAGGUGGGGAUGACGUCAAGUCAUCAUGGCCCUUACGACCAGGGCUACACACGUGCUACAAUGGUGGGUACAAAGGGUAGCUACCUAGCGAGAGCAAGCUAACCUCAUAAACCGAUUGUAGUCCGGAUUGGAGUCUGCAAUUCGACUCCAUGAAGUCGGAUCGCUAGUUAUUGGGGAUCAGAAUGCCGCGGUGAAUACGUUCCCCGGGCCUGUACCACACCGCCCGCACACCCAUGGGAUUUGUUGCCCCAGAAGUAAGGUAGCUAAACGCUCGGAGGCGCUACCAAUAGUGUAUCAUCGUG
rnacentral:rRNA from 1 species